ACCAAGGUCAGUAGAAGAUGGAGAAGAAAGCGGCUUUGUGUUACGUUGCAACAAUUUCCACGAAAUGGUCAAAACCCAGGACUGAAAUUGGCAUCGAUGUGUUAUGGAGUGCAUUUGCCAGUAAACAGGUGGCGAGAGGUUUGCUCCAGCUGUGAACGCGUCUUCCGUUUUCAACAAUGUGAGACAUUUUGGCAGUGACUCAACCGUGCACGAGGAAUACGUUCUCCAUCAAUGACGUCAGACUCGUGUUCCACAGCGGCUGCAUCCAUGUCAAGAUUACAUGUCGCAUGUCAAAGUUUGUCUGCUAGUAAAUUUGCAGGGUUGAAACUUAAUAUGAAGUGUAAUGUUUACUUUGGGUUGUGAUUCGGCUGUAGUUAUUGUCAAACUAUUACAAAGUAGUGUUCAGGAAGAGUACUUUGCUACACGUACAUGUAGUAGUGGUUUAUUUCCGUGUAGGUGUGGUAACAUAAACAACAAUGCACAUGUAGGAUGACCGGUUUUCUUUUUGAUAGUAACAUUUUUGUGAGGACAAAUCUGCAAUUUGGCGCUUCUCCGUGAACAAUUAUUUAUUUAAAAUUGAAUUCUAGUAUUAAUUUUGGUGAUGUUUAGUUUUGGAAAGAAAGAAAACAUUCCAACCGUGUAAAAUGCAUUUUUGGAAGUCUUUGGAAGUUAUUGUUAUAUUGUUAUAUUGUCAAGUUAUAUUGUCAAGUACGCGCCAUAUUUGAUCCACGGACUAGAUAGACGGUGGUUCAACUGGUUGUGAACUCGGUCUAAUGCUUUAGAAAGCGUCUGGAAGUUGCAGUGUGCGUUCAGUUGUUCUUCGGAAGAAAAAAAAAGAGCGAGAUGUGCAUCCACCAAAAAGUUGAUAAAUCGCUGUUAUUAAGAUAAUUAUGCUUCAGAAAUUUCAGCAUAAUAUCAAACUGGCAGAAUGCGUCAUUAGUAUUGCAGAACUGUCCACACGUAUUGAAACGAUCUUUCUUAAGUUUGAAUUUGUUACAGAAAAUGUUUUAUUUCGGAACAUUCUCUUCAUUAAGGGGUCUAUGUAGGACUGGCAUUCGUCAGAAACUUUUACAUUCUGAAUUUUCGACAAAUUCUUGACAAAGUCAAAUCAAUCA